GACGAACGCUGACGGCGUGCUUAACACAUGCAAGUCGAACGAAGUGGCGAACGGGUGAGUAACGCGUAAUCAACCUGCCCUUCAGAGGGGGACAACAGUUGGAAACGACUCCUAAUAACGCAUACUGAAGGAGGGGAUUGCGACUGAUUAGCUAGGUGGAGGGGUCACGGCCGACCAAGGCGAUGAUCAGUAGCCGGGCUGCAGGGAUGAACGGCCACAUUGGGACUGGGAAACGGCCCAGACUCCUACGGGAGGCAGCAGUGGGGAAUCUUCCGCAAUGGGCGAAAGUCUGACGAAGCAACGCCGCGUGAGUGAUGACGGCCUUCGGGUUGUAAAGCUCUGUUAAUCGGGACGCGGUACCGGAAUAGAAAGCCACGGCUAACUACGUGCCAGCAGCCGCGGUAAUAC
rnacentral:rRNA from 1 species